rnacentral:lncRNA from 1 species
GCUGUUAAUUGGCCUUGUUUCUAUCUCAUAACAAUCGGUUGCUGGUAAAUGAGGGUACCAGUUGAGGGGAUGGGAGUCAAUUAUAUUGUUUUAGGCAUUUGUUACAAGGAGAAAACCACCUAAGACCUUAGGUGGCCAAAUAUGUAACCUGGGUCCUUCUCAAUAUUUCUGGAAGCGAUGAGCAAUGAUUGCAGUAGCAGUUUGGUUUGUGUUUGUUUAUUUGCUUGUAAUCUUUGCUGUUGCUGUUGCUUCUGCACCAGGAAUGGUGCAUUGGUGCAAGAUGGCAGAGUCUGCUUUAUAAGGCAGAAACUUUGUUAUUUAAUAUAUUAGAGGCUUUGGCCCUUAGGUUUAUGGACAGGAGUAAUUAAUGACUUUGUUCCUUUCUUGGUUGGAAAGCCUUUUUCAAAUUGGUAAAUACUUAAAACACCAAUAACAACAAAAACUCAGUGGCAAGUUGUUGGCAAUGGACAGAGAAACUUAGGCACACAGGAACUCUAUCAAGACUAACUUAGCUGAUUUAGCAGAAGUGAACAGAACUGAAAUGUAAAUCUGUUCAGGGUGGGAUGCCAAUGAGAAGUAAGCCAAUUCUUGAGUUGAAAGAUGGGACAUAAAAUUGUUUAUAUGGUAUGAUUGCAAUGUUGCUUCACAUGCAUGUUCUUUCUUGCUUACAUACACACAACAUAAAUCAUAAAUAUACAUAUAUUGCAGACACAACACUAAAAGAAACACAUCAGAAUGUAAAGACCAGUUACUUCUGGGGAGUUGGAUUCUGAGUGAUUUUGUUUUCUUUAUUCUCUGUUCUCCCAUUUUCCUUGCCAAGCUUCCGCAUUCGGUCUCUUCAUAUCCAGCUCUGCUACCAAAGAAACUCUGAUGCUUCUCCAGCCCAAGUCAGCCAAGUCCUGAAGUAUCCAAGUUAACCUCUGACUUCCUGGGCUCAGAAAUGUUUUGUUGCUUCUGUUUGUUCUCCGUCCCUGGGUCCACGCUCACGGGAUUAAAUUGUUCUUCACAUUAAACUCCACUUAAUAGUUUCCUUGUCUAGCACUCAGGUAGUUUUAAAACGUGGCCAAAAAUUAUUUGACACUACUCCUAGCGAGAGAUGGGGUCUUUGUCCCCUCCCCUUGAAUAUGGGUAGUCUUGUGAUUGUGAAUGUUUCAACCAGGUGAGUGUGGUGGGAAUGACACUGUGUGGCUUAUGAAGCUGGGAAUGAGCCUUCAGAUGAUUCCAGCUCUUUCAGUUUUCUCUCAGCCUUUGAAUCUUCCUGGCUGACACCACAGACAAGGAGAAGCAGGGUGAAGCUGUUUUUACUGUGCAUUUUCUGAAUUUCUGAGGCCAGAAUCUGUGAGCUUAAUAAAAUGGUGGUUGUAAGUGGCACUGCCAGAUUUUGGGGUGAUUUGUUACACAGCAAUUGUAACCAGAACAGGAAAUUUGAAUCCAACUUGCGCCAGACUUCUUACAAAGGACUGAAGUCAGCUGUUUUCUUUCUAUGGCCCAGGAGCUAAAUGCAACUAUUCUCCCAUGCUAACAUCAUGCUCUUCCCAAAUGUUCCAUUAACUCAAGCAGCCUGAAAGAGAAACUCUGCUUCCUAUCACAAAUAUGUCCGAGGAGCCCCUAUACAUAGUUAGAGAUUUCUCUUAAUAAGUCAUAUCCUUCCCUUAGUAAGUCAUAUCCUUCACCUGUGAAACUUCUGGAUCCUGGGAUUAAAUGACUCAAUUUGCUUUGCUUUCCACGUUCUAGAAAUUGUCUCACUUCCUAAAAAGCAUGAAUGAAGUUGUCUUCUGGUCCAAUUUGGAUUUAGCUGAAGAUUCUAACCUGAACGUUUUCUUCAGUCAGGACCUAAGGACACAUUUACCCUGAAUGUCAGAUCCCAGAAGAGAGGACAAAGUAAAGGUAUAGAGAACAUGAAUAUAAAUUGAAAGCACAGGAGAAAAUCAGAACUAAAAGGACAUUUUAAAAAACAAAGCAAAACCGUCAUUCUUGGUCAUUUACUGUGUGCCAUUAUGUUACAUGUAUUAUGUCAUCUCAACAUAACAACAGUUCUAAUGAUGUAGAUAUUUUAUUAUACCCAUGAUAAAUGGAGGCAUGUAUCUUUCCUAAGGUGGGCAGAGCUUAUAGUUGUACAUAUUAGUCUGACACCAGAUCCUGCUCUCUUAAUCACUAGGCCCUACAGUCUGGAAACAAUCAACAUUAUUUUUAUACUAAUAUUAAAGUGUUAUUUGCCUUUUUUCACUUUCAUUAUCUCAUGAGUAUGUGGGGGAAUUUUCCAAUGUAUAUUUGGAAGCUCUGUAUAACUAAGUGAGCCAAUAUAUUGGAAACAUUUGAUGCACAAAGUUACAAAAUCAUACAUGGGUAAAAGAUCCAUUCAAAUAGCAAGAUACAUGAAUUGAUUUUAAUUUUUAAUAUAACAGAAUACCAAACAAAGAUUUCACAUC